CCCGUGUUUUUCUUAAUGCAAUAACUUGAAAUGUAAACAUGAGGUGACAAGUAAAUCCUCAGUCAAAAUAAGUUUGCAACCAAAGAGGAGGAGGAAAGAAAAAGCACGUAGAAAGCUGGCUGUGGAGGCUGUUGAAUGGCGGCCAAAUCCACGGCCAAAGCACUAAUAGAGCACAGCGUUCAUCACGCAAGACCAUUCCUGCUCUUGUUCAUCAGGCUGCAUUCUGGAUCUUUUCCUUUGAGACUCACCAUUUGUUCUGACUUUAUAUCUAAUGCAACAAAUAGGUAAAGAGAGAUCAUGGCAUGCUGUCUGGAUAUAAAUUCUGGCUGCUUUUCUCCAAACCAGAGGAUUAGUGGUGUGAUGGUAGAUGUGAAGUCUGGAGCUGCAACCAUCUUGCAAACAGAAAAGGCCAAAGCUGCCAGGAGCUAUGAGGAAGCCAAGAAUGCAACCAACUAAGAACUAAGAGCGCAGAGAUGGGUCCUGAUGAUACGGUUAAUCCCUGCAUUGAGCUAUGCCUGAAGCUAGUUACCAUGCACUUUUCGAUGGUGUGACCCACUAAACUCUUUCUACCUAAGUCAAUUUGAGUUGGGUUUUCUGUCGCUUGCAACUGAUACCUAAAUUCAGCCUGCUACACC